AUACGUAGGGUGCGAGCGUUGUCCGGAAUUACUGGGCGUAAAGAGCUCGUAGGUGGUUUGUCGCGUCGUCUGUGAAAUUCCGGGGCUUAACUCCGGGCGUGCAGGCGAUACGGGCAUAACUUGAGUACUGUAGGGGAGACUGGAAUUCCUGGUGUAGCGGUGAAAUGCGCAGAUAUCAGGAGGAACACCGGUGGCGAAGGCGGGUCUCUGGGCAGUAACUGACGCUGAGGAGCGAAAGCAUGGGUAGCGAACAGGAUUAGAUCCCCGGGUAGUCCAUGCCGUAAACGGUGGGCGCUAGGUGUAGGGGUCUUCCACGACUUCUGUGCCGUAGCUAACGCAUUAAGCGCCCCGCCUGGGGAGUACGGCCGCAAGGCUAAAACUCAAAGGAAUUGACGGGG
rnacentral:rRNA from 1 species